UACGUAGGUGGCAAGCGUUGUCCGGAAUUAUUGGGCGUAAAGCGCGCGCAGGUGGUUUCUUAAGUCUGAUGUGAAAGCCCACGGCUCAACCGUGGAGGGUCAUUGGAAACUGGGGAACUUGAGUGCAGGAGAGGAGAGUGGAAUUCCUGGUGUAGCGGUGAAAUGCGCAGAUAUCAGGAAGAACACCCGUGGCGAAGGCGGCUCUCUGGGACGGUACUGACGCUGAGACGCGAAAGCGUGGGGAGCGAACAGG
rnacentral:rRNA from 1 species